GUUGUAAACUUGUAAAGUGCAGAUUCAAUUUACAACAUUAUGACAAUUAAUAGCGUUCAUGUCUGAUUAACGAUGUUGACAAAGGAAUCUGAUAGAUUACGACAUGACUAUAUCAAUAUGAGGCUAUCAAGUGCAAAUCAUCACAUAAUUUGGCUGCAUAGACAUAGAUAUCAAGGAUUGCACACUCGAGAGCUAACCGCAUGGACUCCUAUAGAGCAGGAACUUCCAACUUUCUGGCAGUCAGCUCAGGAUGGCCUAAAAAAAAUUUUUAAAAAAUUAAAACAAUCAAUCUCAGGGG
rnacentral:lncRNA from 1 species